rnacentral:rRNA from 1 species
CUCCAGACUCCUACGGGAGGCAGCAGUGGGGAAUAUUGCACAAUGGGGGAAACCCUGAUGCAGCGACGCCGCGUGAGCGAUGAAGUAUUUCGGUAUGUAAAGCUCUAUCAGCAGGGAAGAAGAUGACGGUACCUGACUAAGAAGCCCCGGCUAACUACGUGCCAGCAGCCGCGGUAAUACGUAGGGGGCAAGCGUUAUCCGGAUUUACUGGGUGUAAAGGGAGCGUAGACGGCGGCGCAAGCCGGAUGUGAAAGCCCGGGGCUCAACUCCGGGACUGCAUUUGGAACUGUGUGGCUGGAGUGUCGGAGAGGCAGGCGGAAUUCCUAGUGUAGCGGUGAAAUGCGUAGAUAUUAGGAGGAACACCAGUGGCGAAGGCGGCCUGCUGGACGAUGACUGACGUUGAGGCUCGAAAGCGUGGGGAGCAAACAGGAUUAGAUACCCCCGUAC